GGCCGCGGGACUUCCUUUCAGGCCUAACACAUGCAAGUCGAACGGAAAGGCCUCCUUUUGCUGGGGUACUCGAGUGGCGAACGGGUGAGUAACACGUGGGUGAUCUGCCCUGCACUUUGGGAUAAGCUUGGGAAACUGGGUCUAAUACCGAAUAUGACCACUUCUUGGAUGUUGUGGUGGAAAGCUUUUGCGGUGUGGGAUGAGCCUGCGGCCUAUCAGCUUGUUGGUGGGGUAAUGGCCUACCAAGGCGGCGACGGGUAUCCGGCCUGAGAGGGUGUACGGACACAUUGGGACUGAGAUACGGCCCAGACUCCUACGGGAGGCAGCAGUGGGGAAUAUUGCACAAUGGGCGCAAGCCUGAUGCAGCGACGCCGCGUGGGGGAUGAAGGCCUUCGGGUUGUAAACUCCUUUCGCUAUCGACGAAGCCACUUGUGGUGACGGUAGGUAGAUAAGAAGCACCGGCUAACUACGUGCCAGCAGCCGCGGUAAUACGUAGGGUGCAAGCGUUGUCCGGAAUUACUGGGCGUAAAGAGCUCGUAGGUGGUUUGUCGUGUCGUCUGUGAAAUCCCGGGGCUUAACUUCGGGCGUGCAGGCGAUACGGGCAUAACUUGAGUGCUGUAGGGGAGACUGGAAUUCCUGGUGUAGCGGUGAAAUGCGCAGAUAUCAGGAGGAACACCGAUGGCGAAGGCAGGUCUCUGGGCAGUAACUGACGCUGAGGAGCGAAAGCAUGGGUAGCGAACAGGAUUACAUACC
rnacentral:rRNA from 1 species